rnacentral:lncRNA from 11 species
AUGACACAGGCGUUCUGGAAGGUCUACAAGGCCAAAGUAAUGCAGACCCUCGGUGGAGAGUCACAAGAAGAGGAUCUUGAAGACGAGAGAGAGAGUCCUGAACUGAUGGAAACCACAGAUUCAACACUGCUGACAGAAGAAGGGUCCAACCCUGUUUCUCAACUGGCACGGAGGGUCCAAGGAGCUGGAGCCAAGAGCUGGAGGACUGUAUCAUCCUUGUUCAGCCGGGAAGAUGAACACAAACUGCUGGCCUCUGAGCCUUGUGCUGACCACCCCUUGGCAGCCAAACCGGAGGAGGAUUCCGCCUCCGAGAAGAGGACCGCCGGCCUUUGGGACGUCUUUGCUUCGAAGUGGCCGCAGCCUUCGGGCCUGGAGAAGAUGGUGGACCCCCGAGAGCCGCCCGCCAGGGGCAGGUCGGGGGACUCGGCGGCCGAGGAAGAGGAGGAGGGGGAAGCCGGCGGCACCGGCCAGGACAACGACCUCCGAGAAGCCGAAGGGAUGGCCUUCAAGUGGAGCUUCCUGACCAACAAACUGGCCGAGAUGAAGAACAGAAGCGUCUCCAAGAGCAACUAGGACAGAUGCAGGAAGGACAGACUUCAGACACGAUGCUUGUCUUUCCAGGAGAGGACAAGGACUGUCACUUUCUCCCCAAGAGCCUUGUGUGAUGCGGAGGAUCCAGGACAUUGUAUUAACCACCGCGAUGUUAGGAUGCUGCCCUCCUUGCACCCCCUUUCCCACGCGUGCCCCACAUUUCCCUAUCCCCUUGUCCUCCCCAUCUUCUUCAUAAGACUGUUCUUUCAAAUCUAUAUAUAUAAAAAAUGUAAUGUUCGUUUGUAGGACUGAGUAAACAACAAAACCACUGAACCAAAUCACACCAAAUUUGGCCACAAAAGACAUACUCAUCUAAUCUAUGUCUUUCAAACAAAAAACCUGGAAAAUAAAGUCCAAAUUAGAGAAUAUAUAAAUGUAAUGUACGUUUGUAGGACUGAGUAAAAGUCCAAAUUAGAGGACCAGGAAAAGCUGUGUAUACCAAUCUAUAUAUAUAAAAAUGUAAUGUACGUUUGUAGGACUGAGUAAACAACAAAACCACUGAACCAAAUCAUACCAAAUUUGGCCACAAAAGAUAUAGCCAUCCAAUCUAUGUCUUUCAAAUGAAAAAACCUGGAAAAUAAAGUCCAAAUUAGAGACGAGGAAGAGCCAUUUUCUACCCUGGUUGCUCGUCAGAAGGGUAGACCCUGCCCGCUUUAGGCCCCACCCACUUUUGUCUCCUAGCAACCCCCUCGGGCACAAUGGCACCGGGAUACAGCCAAGGUUCAGGCUUUUGAGGCUGCAAGGCUAUUCACUGCUAUUCCACCUGGACAACAAAGCAUUCCCAUAAGCCACAGCAACACGUGACUGGGCACAGCUUAUAUAUGUAUGUAUGUGUAUAUAUAUAAUAUGUGUGUGUGUGUGUAUAUACAUACACACACACACACACAUAUAUAUAGUCCAGAAUAAGUUCCUUAUUGGCUAGGCCAAUAUCCCUUACCACUUUCCAUGCCUAGAUGAUGUUUCGGGAAUA